AGUGAACGCUGGCGGUAGGCCUAACACAUGCAAGUCGAACGGCAGCACAGUAAGAGCUUGCUCUUACGGGUGGCGAGUGGCGGACGGGUGAGGAAUACAUCGGAAUCUACUUUUUCGUGGGGGAUAACGUAGGGAAACUUACGCUAAUACCGCAUACGACCUACGGGUGAAAGCAGGGGAUCUUCGGACCUUGCGCGAUUGAAUGAGCCGAUGUCGGAUUAGCUAGUUGGCGGGGUGAAGGCCCACCAAGGCGACGAUCCGUAGCUGGUCUGAGAGGAUGAUCAGCCACACUGGAACUGAGACACGGUCCAGACUCCUACGGGAGGCAGCAGUGGGGAAUAUUGGACAAUGGGCGCAAGCCUGAUCCAGCCAUACCGCGUGGGUGAAGAAGGCCUUCGGGUUGUAAAGCCCUUUUGUUGGGAAAGAAAAGCAGCAGGUUAAUACCCCGCUGUUCUGACGGUACCGAAAGAAUAAGCACCGGCUAACUUCGUG
rnacentral:rRNA from 1 species